CAUAAAAUUGAGGAAGGACUUGUAGAAUUCCAACAAUAUUCCGAGAAAUGCAAAGAGAAUGUGGAAGAACGAAUCCUGGAGAGCUUUAAUUCGCUUGGCGAAUUUAUGAAGAAGUCUUUUUUUGAUGAGUUGAGUUGUUUUUGCCCCAUUGAUUCAAAUUAAUCCCGGAGAGGAAGAAGCCGGUACCUCAUCCAAAACGGCGCGGGUUGGCGAUAUUGUUAAAAUUCUAACAAUGAUGUAAGUGGCGCUCGAUGGCUCCAAAAGGAGCAUUAUUUAUUGCAACGUCGUUCAUACUAUGGACGAGUAUGUGAGCGCCGAAACCGGCGGACCUGAAGGAGUACUAUCGACUGGAGAAGGAGUCACUGAAAAUUGUUGCCCAAAGGAUCCAUACUUCAAAUAAGAAGUUUCGAUCCUUGGGCAACAGUAGGAGCAUGUUGCUAUGCAACAUUUCUAAUAAUAAGUUAAAAGGGUUUGGGAAACUAGUUGCAAGUGGUGUUAGGCAAUACUUUACAUUAGAUAAGAUUAGAAAUUUAAGUAAUUUGAAUUUAGUAUUAGAUGGGGUUUUCGAGUUAGUAUUUCUGUUAGCAUUUAAGAGUCCUUGUUGUUGUCCGAAAAAAUAAAAGCAUUCAAAUGAAA